rnacentral:rRNA from 1 species
AUUGAACGCUGGCGGCAGGCUUAACACAUGCAAGUCGAACGAGUGGCGGACGGGUGAGUAAUGUCUGGGAAACUGCCUGAUGGAGGGGGAUAACUACUGGAAACGGUAGCUAAUACCGCAUACCAUCAGAUGUGCCCAGAUGGGAUUAGCUAGUAGGUGAGGUAAAGGCUCACAAAGCCGACGAUCUCUAGCUGGUCUGAGAGGAUGACCAGCCACACUGGGACUGAGACACGGCCCAGACUCCUACGGGAGGCAGCAGUGGGGAAUAUUGCGCAAUGGGGGCAACCCUGAAGCAGCCAUGCCGCGUGAAUGAAGAAGGCCUUCGGGUUGUAAAGUUCUUUCGGUAGCGAGGCGUUAACUACAGAAGAAGCACCGGCUAACUCCGUGCCAGCAGCCGCGGUAAUAC